CUUUAUGGUGACGCAGGCAGGGCAACCGCAAGGUUGACCGGUUUUCUUGAGAGCCGGGGUUCCAAACCUGUCUGUGUCACCACCCAA
rfam:Brenneria goodwinii strain OBR1 genome assembly, contig: Contig